UACGGAGGGUGCAAGCGUUAUCCGGAUUCACUGGGUUUAAAGGGUGCGUAGGAGGGCAGGUAAGUCAGUGGUGAAAUCUCCAAGCUUAACUUGGAAACUGCCGUUGAUACUAUCUGUCUUGAAUAUUGUGGAGGUGAGCGGAAUAUGUCAUGUAGCGGUGAAAUGCUUAGAUAUGACAUAGAACACCAGUUGCGAAGGCAGCUCACUACACAAUCAUUGACUCUGAGGCACGAAAGCGUGGGGAUCAAACAGG
rnacentral:rRNA from 1 species